rnacentral:rRNA from 1 species
AUUGAACGCUGGCGGCAUGCUUUACACAUGCAAGUCGAACGGCAGCGCGGGCUCCGGCCUGGCGGCGAGUGGCGAACGGGUGAGUAAUGCAUCGGAACGUGCCCAGUAGUGGGGGAUAGCCCGGCGAAAGCCGGAUUAAUACCGCAUACGACCUGAGGGUGAAAGCGGGGGACCGAAAGGCCUCGCGCUAUUGGAGCGGCCGAUGUCGGAUUAGCUAGUUGGUGGGGUAAAGGCUUACCAAGGCGACGAUCCGUAGCUGGUCUGAGAGGACGACCAGCCACACUGGGACUGAGACACGGCCCAGACUCCUACGGGAGGCAGCAGUGGGGAAUGUUGGACAAUGGGGGCAACCCUGAUCCAGCCAUGCCGCGUGCGGGAAGAAGGCCUUCGGGUUGUAAACCGCUUUUGUUCGGGAAGAAAUCCUCUGGGCUAAUACCCCGGGGGGAUGACGGUACCGGAAGAAUAAGCACCGGCUAACUACGUG